rnacentral:rRNA from 1 species
AGGACGAACGCUGGCGGCGUGCUUAACACAUGCAAGUCGAGCGAGGCUCUCCUUCGGGAGAUGUCCUAGCGGCGAACGGGUGAGUAACACGUGGGCAACCUGCCUCUAGCUCUGGGAUAACUCCGGGAAACCGGGGCUAAUACCGGAUACGACCUCGAGCGGCAUCUAUCGAGGUGGAAAGUUUUUCGGCUAGAGAUGGGCCCGCGGCCUAUCAGCUUGUUGGUGAGGUAACGCCCACCAAGGCGACGACGGGUAGCCGGCCUGAGAGGGCGACCGGCCACGACUGGGACUGAGACACGGCCCAGACUCCUACGGGAGGCAGCAGUGGGAAUAUUGCGCAAUGGGCGAAAGCCUGACGCAGCGACGCCGCGUGAGGGAUGAAGGCCUUCGGGUGUAAACCUCGUUUCAGCGAGGACGAAGCGACGAAGUGACGGUACCUGCCGAAGAAGAAGCACCGGCAAACUACGUGACCAGCCAGGCCGAC